GAGUUUGAUCCUGGCUCAGAUUGAACGCUGGCGGCAUGCCUUACACAUGCAAGUCGAACGGCAGCACGGGAGCUUGCUCCUGGUGGCGAGUGGCGAACGGGUGAGUAAUGCAUCGGAACGUAUCCUGGAUGGGGGAUAACGUAGCGAAAGUUACGCUAAUACCGCAUAUUCUGUGAGCAGGAAAGCGGGGGAUCUUCGGGCCUCGCGCUCUUGGAGCGGCCGAUGUCGGAUUAGCUAGUUAGGUGAGGUAAAGGCUCACCAAGGCGACGAUCCGUAGCAGGUCUGAGAGGAUGAUCUGCCACACUGGAACUGAGACACGGUCCAGACUCCUACGGGAGGCAGCAGUGGGGAAUUUUGGACAAUGGGGGCAACCCUGAUCCAGCCAU
rnacentral:rRNA from 1 species